rnacentral:lncRNA from 1 species
UUUUCUUGUUUUAAUUUUACCUUUUAUUUUCUUUUGGUUUUAUUUUUAUUGUUCUUCCUUGCUUCUAUUUGUUUUUCUUUUUUCUUUUCAGAUUUUCUAUGUUUCUUCAUUAUUAUUUUAUAUUUUAUUUCCUUUUAAUCUUAUUUUUAUCCUUAUUUAAAUUAUUCAUUAAUUUUAUUUGCUCUAUGCACUUUUUAUCAUUUGUUAAUUAUGUUUGUUUUUAUAUUUUUUUUCUUAGUAAUUUUAUUUUUUUAUUUUUAUUUUCUAUAUAUAUGUGAUACUUAUGUAGUAUAUAUUUAGUGUUCUAUAUUGUGUUAUGUCAUGUUUACGUAAUAUAUAUGUGAUGUUUUAUGAUGUUUCUUACGGUGUUCACUUAGUAUACAUGUAAUCUAUAAUUGAUGUGAUGUUCUAUAAUAUAUUUAAUGAUGUUCUAUGAUGUAUUUAGUGAUGCUAAUGUUCUAUAAAUAUAUUUAUGAUAUUUAAAAAGUAACCCUUUGACAUUAUUUGAAUUUUUUCUCCAUUUUGUGUUUUUAUUUUUUUUCUUAUGCUUUUUACUCUAGAUUUUUUUAUUAUUUUUAUCUAUAUCAUGUAUUUAUGUAUUUUUAUGUAUAUUGUAAUAUCAGUUUCAUAAACCUAAAACCAAAAUACUAUUCUUCUAAAUCGAUAACAUUUUUUUACAAAGACAGAACAUUGUGUGUUGAACCUAGAAUAUUGUUUCUACUUAAUAAAAGAAAAUAUUUUAUCUUUAUAAGAUAAAUAUUCAUUAAUAAAAUUUUAUCUAAAUAUAUCCAUGUGUGAUCUUGUUUUGAAGGAUUUGUUAUAAGAAAUUUAAUGGUGCAAUCAGAAUUUAAUUUAUAUCUCUAGUUUAGGAGUUAUGACUUUUUAAUUCGUUCAAAUAAUUUUGUAUGCAUAGGUGAGUGGGGCCUAGGUUGAUGGGAUAGCGUGUCAUCGCGCAGUAAAAAAGAUCACCAAAG